UACGGGGGGGGCAAGCGUUGUUCGGAAUUACUGGGUGUAAAGGGUUCGUAGGCGGUGUGGCAAGUCGGGAGUGAAAUCUCUGGGCUCAACCCAGAGACUGCUUCCGAAACUGCUGUGCUUGAGUGUGAGAGAGGCUCGUGGAAUUGCAGGUGUAGCGGUGAAAUGCGUAGAUAUCUGCAGGAACACCCGUGGCGAAAGCGGCGAGCUGGAUCACUACUGACGCUGAGGAACGAAAGCUAGGGGAGCAAACAGG
rnacentral:rRNA from 1 species